UGGGACUCCCUGUGGUCAGGAUUUUGGUGGUAGGGAGUGUGGUCCCCUCAGUAUCAAUGUCUGCAGUGGGGUCUAGCAGACUAGGUUGAGAGGUAGGUUUGCUGUUGGUCGCCAGAAGAAGGUUGUCCGUCAGCGAGGCCUGUUGUGUGCUGUGUCGUGGCCUGAGGCAUGGUGAUGAGUCUAGAAUGCUGGCAGAGGGCACCGUUGCCCCAGUAACCAUGGAGAAAGCCUGGUUGAGACCUGGAGCAGUAACUGGAAAUAUCUUGGAGGUGUGUAGGCUUCUAGGACCGCAUGCUUGGUAUCUGGUAACUCCUUUGAUGGACAUGGAUCUCACUUAUGAAGAGGACCAGCCAGGUGUCCUCUGCCGGAUUUCACCAGACAUUCCUUCUUCAGAGUCUCCACAGCCUCUGAAUGGGUGACUGGCCCAAACGCCACCAGAAACGUCUUGGGCAUCUUAAAACCAAGGGGGCUGCUGCUCUUCCAAUAUGACAUACAAUUCAGCACAGAGAUUUGCGUGUGUCUCCAAUUGUCUAGAGACCAUGACACACAUCCAUCAGCCAGGAGACACAAACCUAGCUUCACCUAUCCCUACACACUCACCUGCGUGUCCCCACCUCCGACGGGGCAUCCGCCGGUUCUCGGGCGCCCCAGUCCAGCCUGCGGUGCAGACUCUACCCUGGGCAGGAGGCAGAGCGGCUCGGGGGCUGCCGCCGGCAGGAAGCACCAAUCACCCCGGCGAGCCCGCAGCUCUGAGCUAUUGGGAGCCGACCCCGCCGGACGGGAGCGGGCUGCCCCGGGCUCGCCCGCCGAGGGACGGCAGGAGGCAGCGCGCCCGGAGCCAGCCUGCAGGCGGGGGCCGCGCCGCUCCCGGGUGGGAUUGUGACAUGGCCGGGGCGCAGCCCGUGGCCCCGCGGGCCCAGCCCAGCGGCGGGGCGGCCAUGGAGCGGCAGGAGCUGGCGGGCGGCGCCGAGCCCGGGGCGAGCCCGGACGGGGAGUUCCAGGCCGUGGUGCAGCGGACGCAGGUGCUGCUGCUGGCCGGGGAGACGUGGGAGCCGGACGGCGCCCAGGCCGCGCUCAGCUCCUUCGCCCACCAGGUGCUGCCCGUGGCCCGGCGCUCCGGCAGCCUGAGCCCCGCGCCGCCCAGCCCCGCGCCCCCGGCCGGGCAGCUCAUCUUCUUCCUGUGCCGCGCCGCGUCGCUGCGGGGCCGGGCCGAGCGGCUGCGGGAGGCGCUGCGGGGCGUGCGGGAGCAGAGCCGCGGCGCGCCCGCCGCCCUGGUGGCGGUGAUCGUGCAGCCCCAGCCCGAGGAGGAGGCGGAGGCCCGCCGCCGCCUGGAGGAGCUGCUCCUCGAGGUCUUCCAGCCGCCGGGGCCGGGCGCCGCGCCGCGGGUCGAGGUGCACACGGCCGUGUUCCGCCCCGGCCGGCCCGAGGGCGCCCUGGAGGUCAAGAAAGCCGCUUGCGAGGCCCUGAGGGAAGAGCCAGAAGACGCUGUUUGGGUUUCACGAGCCACCCUCUUCAAAGUCCUGGGGGCGCUCUGUGUGGCGUGCGCAGGUAUUAUCGGAAGCCAGUACAUGAACACUAGCAUCUGAGACUGGGUUCCAUCGGGCUGGCUUCCUGCCCACAGGCCGCUGUCCAUCUGGAUCUUAACUACCAUCCACAAUAAAAAACAUCAUCAUAACAGAAAAAACAAAUUCUGGUUUUGUUGAUUCCAAUGACAAUUUCCAACAGUGAGAAAAGUAGCUGAUAAAUAUUUCAGAUAAAUGAUACUGGUCCAGCCACCAGCACCAGAGUUCAGCGCGUGAGCUAACGAGAACACAAGAGCAAAGAAAGUACAAAAUUAUGCCACAGAUGCAAAGGAGCAAUGCAAAUGGAAGCUCAAAUUUGGGCUGGAGCAGUGAGGCUCACGCGCGUCCCUUACCAGCAAGCAAUGAACCAAGUCCCAAAGUGACUAAACUGGCCACUUUGUCCUCUGCUGGGACGAUAUCCACAGAGACCAGCAGAACCAGAGCUGGAAAAGGCUGCCCCUUCCCCGACUCCUCUCCUGCCCCUGCCUCAUGCUUUGGGUGCGCCUGUCUCCCACUCUCAGCACAUGCUGCAGCAAUGAACUGCAGCCACUAGGGGUCAGGCUGUCACUGCAGUCCGCAGUACGGGAUCCCCAGUCUCCACCCAGAGCUCCUGGCAGGAUCUGGGCCCAGGCUACUUUCCAUCCCACACGCCACCUCCCCCAUUGGACACCGCAUCCCAAGGGUACAAGGAAAGGGGUCUUUCCAGAGAAGCACACGUAGAGAUGGGGGAAUUGCCAGCCUGGCUGUGACCCAAGGUCUUCUGGGGCCAGUGACCAUCUCAGACAGCGACCAGCACUGGUUGCUGCACAGGAAGGGGUGAGAACCCCACAGCAGUACAUGCGGGAUGAUCUGCCCCACCCCAGGCCCUUUAGUUAGAGCUGGGUAAUGCCCUGACCCAGGAGGAGCAGGGGAAACACCAGACCACAGCUGAGCUGGGAUCCUUCUGGUGUCUGACAACGGCCAGUACCGGAUGCUGCAAAGGAAGGUACAGGGAUGUCCUAGCCAGUAGCUAGAGACCAGCUAAUGCCCCUGGCCUCAGCGGCUCCUGGGGGUGAGGAGUUCUGCACAAAUGCCACGAGAGGCUCAGAUGAACGGUCCAAGGACUGGCUGCUGUGGUUAUCUGGACUGCAACAGUGAGCCAGGCUAGGACGUCGAUCCCAGACUCCAACACCAAACCCAGGUAAAUACAGAACUGCAGCACAUCUGUCUGUCUGUCUGUCCGUCCAGGCUUUGAUCAGGGUGGCCACCAACCUAGUAUCUGAUACUGCCUCCCCCGCUACAGUCCCCAGGCUGUGGAAGGAAGAAAGGAAACUGCAAAUAAAGCCCAACUCUGCCACCCUUAAUCUCCCAAAAUAGACUCUGCC